UACCAAAUUCCGAGUGAAUCGCUUAACAAUUUUAAGAAAACUGUACAGAUUUUAAAAGUCGGUUUUCGGCAGGAAAUAAAAAUCGAAUUUUUUAUUUUUUACAAAAAGAAAAUCUUGUUCCCGAGAUACGCGGAAGCUGUACUCUGGAAACUUUAUUCGUUGGAAAGUCGUCAACCUUCAUGAUUCACAAAGCAUCGAUCUACUUCGAUGGAAGCGUAAAAAUAUGACUCGCGAAUCUCGUGCACACCAAGCGACAGCUCGUUCAUAAAUAUUUACGCUAUUGUAUUAAAAGAGAUAAUGGGAAGAAAAUGCAAAGACGAAGAGUGUCAGAUAAUACGAAAGAGCGUAUAGUAUUGAUAUGAAUAAUUAUGAACGAAGAGUACAGUCCAAACUCACAAUCAGUACAAUCCGAGGAGAGAACUUUGACAACACAGCUGGCGGAGAGAUAUUGAUUAUAUACAACGUCCACCUUUGCCAUAUUCACUUAUGCACAACUCUCAAGUUAUUUUCGACCUUGUGGCAUUGCGUUAACGUUAACGAUUGCGGUACGUCUCGGCGCAGAAUUUGUUCCUACAUGCAGCAAAGAGAUACAUUGGACUAUGCAAAUUAUGCCGUAAUGAUUACUAUUUA